rnacentral:rRNA from 1 species
UGGGGAAUAUUGCACAAUGGAGGGAACUCUGAUGCAGCGACGCCGCGUGAGUGAUGAAGGAAUUCGUUUCGUAAAACUCUGUUCCAUGGGAAGAAAAGGACUGUACCAUAGGAGAAAGCUCCGGCUAAAUACGUGCCAGCAGCCGCGGUAAUACGUAUGGAGCGAGCGUUGUCCGGAAUUAUUGGGCGUAAAGGGUGCGCAGGCGGCUUUACAAGUUGGAUGUGAAAUAUUGUGGCUCAACCACAAACGUGCAUCCAAAACUGCAAAGCUUGAGUUAAGGAGAGGUAAGUGGAAUUCCUGGUGUAGCGGUGGAAUGCGUAGAUAUCAGGAGGAAUACCGGUGGCGAAGGCGACUUACUGGACUUAAACUGACGCUCAGGCGCGAAAGCGUGGGGAGCAAACAGG